rnacentral:rRNA from 1 species
UUGACAUCCAGAGAAUUUAGCAGAGGUGCUUUAGUGCCUUCGGGAACUCUGAGACAGGUGCUGCAUGGCUGUCGUCAGCUCGUGUUGUGAAAUGUUGGGUUAAGUCCCGNAACGAGCGCAACCCUUAUCCUUUGUUGCCAGCACGUAAUGGUGGGAACUCAAAGGAGACUGCCGGUGAUAAACCGGAGGAAGGUGGGGAUGACGUCAAGUCAUCAUGGCCCUUACGAGUAGGGCUACACACGUGCUACAAUGGCGCAUACAAAGAGAAGCGACCUCGCGAGAGCAAGCGGACCUCAUAAAGUGCGUCGUAGUCCGGAUUGGAGUCUGCAACUCGACUCCAUGAAGUCGGAAUCGCUAGUAAUCGUAAAUCAGAAUGUUACGGUGAAUACGUUCCCGGGCCUUGUACACACCGCCCGUCACACCAUGGGAGUGGGUUGCAAAAGAAGUAGAUAGCUUAACCUUCGGGAGGGCGUUUACCACUUUGUGAUUCAUGGCUGGGGUGAAGUCGUAACAAGGUAAGCGUAGUGCU